UUGCCAAAAGUGUGCUUGCUUGAACAAUCCCAAAGAAUGUUGAUUGCACAGGGUGACUCAAAAUUGGCGAAUUCUGAGUUGAGAGCAUUGUAGAGGAUUGCUUCAGUAGUCCAGACAUAGAAAAAAAAAGAUUCGGAACUUCUCCACAAAGGUACAUUGGUUUGAAGACUGUAACUUUUUAAACUGCGUUUUCUUUAAAUGCAAUCUAAAAGUUUACGAUAAAGAUGAUUGUGAAGAAUAAUAAUGUAAAACAAUUAAGUAGCUUUAUUUUGGAGUAAAAAAAUCUUAAAUUUUUGUAAUUUGCCGUUUCGUUAUUAUUAUAAAUUACAAUCAUUUUAGAUUUUUUAUUCCAAAAUGAUGCAAAUUUUUUGAGAAUUAGUUUUACAUUAUUGUUUUCUACAAUCAUCUCAUCAUAAAUAACAAUAAACACUGAAAUUUUUAGCCUACAUUUGAAGAAAACGCAUUUCAAAAUGCACCUCCACACCAAUGUAUUCUCAAUUCUCUACAACGUUCUGAACUCGGAAUUUGCUUAAUUUUGAGACACCCUGUAGCUUCUCAGGCGAGAUCUAGACUCGGUUAAUUAUUUGGUUUUUUUUUAACUCAAAAUUAGAAAAAUCGCUUGAUAUUUCUGUCUUUCGACGAUCUACUUACGUAUUUUAUACAAAAACAAAAUUAAAAAAAAGAUGAAGGACCUAUCAAAUUUUGAUAGAGGAAAGCAUUUGUUUACGAAGAAGGAACGCGAAAAGUAAUUAAUUUGAUUUGUUGGAAGGCCUCUAAAGAUAGGUGGGCUAAUAACAUUGAGGAAUGUGAUUAGUUUGCCAACAAGUGUGUAUGUUUAUCAAUGUUUCGAAAAUAAAGAUAUCGCGAUAAAUAUUUAUUUUGAUAAAAGUAAUAGUUUAGUCACUCGCAGUGUUGGGACUUAGUACUUAUAUCAGCUUUCGACUAGAAGAGGUAUCAGGCCUUAAAAGGAAGAAAAACCAUAGUUUUGUUCCAACUAGAGGGAACGAUUCCGAACUCAGCAAUCAAAUUCUCAACACCAUCAUUCGAAAAAAUAAACGCAGAGGAGCCAGAACUCCAUACAAAUAUUAAAAAUUAUGUGGCAUAGCUGAUCUUGUGGUCAUUCAGAAGAGGUACUUAUUAGGUACUUGCCAUAUUCUAUACUGCGAUAAAAGCUUAUCAGAACAAUAUAAACACACUAGUUUUAGUUGCCAGUCAUAGCGUUAUCAUUUAUCAAGUUAUCAUAAUACAAUGAUUCGAGUUUUUCUUUGGGAAGCGCGCGAUUAUUACAAUUUUGGCCACAUCUCCAUGUCCCUUUCCGAUGGCACCUACAUCAGUUUUUGGCCAGAAGAGGAAGUCGUAUUGAUUGAGAAAAAGAAGUCGCAAGAAGCAUUGCCGCACAUUUACGCUGAAGAUGUAGAAGUGGAAGGCCGACCAUCUGACCAGGUUUUAACUCUUCCGGAUGAUAUUGUAAACGCGGAAAAGAUUAAAUCUUGGUGGAACUCUUACAAAUAUGCAAAUCAGUGGAAUCUGUUUGGAAACAAUUGUGCCUUUGUGAUCCGAGAAGCUUUUCUGGUUGGUGGUAUUUUUCUAACGGAUGAGGCGCGAGCGAAAAGUAAAAAGGGGUGUAUGUAUACACCCAGGAAAGUUUUUGAUUGGAUAAAGGUUUGUAAGAAGGUGUAUGAGAAGCAUAAAUAAUAAGAGAAGAAUAGAGUUCAAAAGAUUGUUAAAAAAAAUUACGAGUUGUAUUUUUUGGCAUAUUUGCUUAGUUGACCUUAGUUUAUUUAUUUAAAAAUGACAUUUAUGCUUUUGAAAAUUAUGACCAGAACAGAUUAUUGGUUAAUUAAAAUUUAUAUUUUUCGCGACGUUUCGAUUUUUAUUAAAUCUUCAUCACGCUGCAUGUUUUGUUUGUGCCAUGUCAACUUCAAGUAAGACGUAUAAUUAUUGCUGCCUGAUGAAGAUUUAAUUAAAAUCGAAACGUCGUGAAAAAUAAUUAGAUUUAAUUACUCCCUGCCCUAAAUAACCAAUAAUCUUUUCUUGUCAGUUAUUUAUUUAUAUACUUUUUGUUAAUUUUGAUUUUUUCAAAGGUCCAAAGUGCUAUAUUUUGUUGAAUAGGUGAACGAAAUCGCUAUUUUUUUAAUAAAAACCUUUUUGUUCA